AACGAACGCUGGCGGCAGGCUUAACACAUGCAAGUCGAGCGCCCCGCAAGGGGAGCGGCAGACGGGUGAGUAACGCGUGGGAAUCUACCCAUCUCUACGGAAUAACGCAUGGAAACGUGUGCUAAUACCGUAUACGUCCUUCGGGAGAAAGAUUUAUAGGAUAUGGAUGAGCCCGCGUUGGAUUAGCUAGUUGGUGGGGUAAAGGCCUACCAAGGCGACGAUCCAUAGCUGGUCUGAGGGGAUGAUCAGCCACACUGGGACUGAGACACGGCCCAGACUCCUACGGGAGGCAGCAGUGGGGAAUAUUGGACAAUGGGCGCAAGCCUGAUCCAGCCAUGCCGCGUGAGUGAUGAAGGCCCUAGGGUUGUAAAGCUCUUUCACCGGUGAAGAUAAUGACGGUAACCGGAGAAGAAGCCCCGGCUAACUUCGUGCCAGCCGCCGCAGUAACAC
rnacentral:rRNA from 1 species